GCCCUCACCCCCCUGGUGUCUGUGUCCAUUGCAUUGGUUAUGCUUAUAUGCAUGCAUACAAGUCCUUUGGUUGAUCUCCUGAGGGAUUUUCUAAUCCUUUGAGCAAUGAAGGACUGGAAUGUGGAAUAACAAGUGAUAAAAAUACGCCCACAAUCAAAGGCACCUGGUCAAAGAAACACCCACGCCCCGUCAGUGGAGUAAAGGCAGGAAGUGGAGUUUAUGAAUAUGGCAGGUAUCAGGUGAUGACUAAGAUUGAAAUGGAGCUAAUCCUGGAAGUAUCCUCAAGUUAAAAUCCUAAGGCUCUGAAGGCGUCUAAAUAAGCUAGCUGACAAAACAAAUGUUCUGGAAAAAAAAAAAUCAGGAAAUCUCUCUCGUAAAAAAAAAAAAAAAAAAAAAGCCUUUGUUGCCAACCGUAUGCACCUGCUGGCAGGUGGAGAAGGCAGAUGCUUAGAGUUUCUCAGGAGUGUGUCUGAGUUAGACUUCCUCAUGUCUUCUCUCAUACAGUUUAAACUUGGAAUCAUGUUCAGAGAGUGAUUUGCCAGGGCUAAGUAUGCCUAACUGUCUAGGGCCAUGAAAUGGAACCUCGCCAACUGGCCCUUACUGGAACAGUGAACUUGGACUCUGGCCACUCAGCCAGUCAGCUAUUGACCUGCCAACACAAAUAAACUUCAACAUUCACCUUCAUUUUAGAACUCUGGCAUUAUAGUAUAGAUGGUGCAAGUGAAGAAGAAUAACAAAAGAGGAUUCAUCGAGCCCUCAGUGUGCUGGUUACAAUUCUAAGCUCUUUACAGUAGUCAUUUAAAAAUGCAAACAAGGUG